rnacentral:piRNA from 1 species
UACCAAGGCCAUCUUGGGAGACCUAUGUGA